rnacentral:lncRNA from 1 species
GGUUGCUGUAGGCUUUGGGGUGCUGUGGGUUUUGGGGUGCCCCGGGCAGUGCGUGGAGCUGCUCCAGGUUUCCAUCCCCGUCUCUUGCAGUGCCCUCCCUGCUCCCCCCAGGCGGCGUCAGGAAACGUCACUCUCGGUCCCCCAGGCCCAAAGGGCACCAAGGGUGAGCGGGGCCUCCCUGGCACUGCCGGUGGCAAAGGGGAGAAGGGUGACCGUG